GAGAGGAGAGAAAGAGAAAGAGAAAAAGAGUGAGGAGGGACGGAGACGGGCUAUUGCGAGGAUACGGAAAACUACGACGAAGGAGAGGAAGGAGGAACGAUUCUUUCGAAUGGACGAUAUGAGUGGAGAGAGUUGAAAGCCAAAGUUGUUGGAUAACCGACGCGGAAACGCGGGAUAAUGACUACUUUUUCAUAUUUUAAUUACGCAGUAAUUAAUUGAAAUGUUUCCCUGUUCGCGAGGGCACUCGAGCAAAAUGAGACGCGGGUGCUGCCUCGGCUGAGACAGCUUCGGCUAUAUUUUCUUCUUCUCCUCUCUCUCUUUCUCUCUCUCUCUCUCUUUUUUUUCCUUCACCGAGAAAACAUUCGACCUCAGCGAUAGACGGCCGCGAUUUUUCCAUUUCUCUCCAUUCUUACGGCCCUUUUCGCAGAAUUAAGUACGAGCUUCUUUGACAAGCUACGUUUUCCCUUUUAAGCAAUUCCAUCGCGCCUGAUUCUCUACUUGGCAUCGAUUUUAACGCGAAACUAUCUAUCUACCAAUAUUAGUUUGAAGAUUUGGAAUUUUCUUGCGUCGUAUUAAUUAUUCCUUCAUCUUUCGUAGAACACAAACCAUCCAUUGAAAGGGAUAAAUAUGAUUCGUUUUACAAUUUUCCAACAUAUAACAUACACACACACGAACACACACACGAACACACACACAUACACACACAUGAAUGUUGAAACUCGUCGAAUCAAGCGCUGAUAUUGACUACUGCAGGUUACUCUACUACUAAUACUACUAUUGUUACUACUACUCUUCCAUCCACGAGCACUAUUCUUUUGCAUCCGGUUUGCUUGUUGUUUCAUUUUCGCGACCCCUAGUUUACUCUACAGUGUCGGCAUAACAAUGAAAGCGAAAAAAUCGAGAAGGAAAUAAAGUGAGAGAAACGAGGUGGAAGGGAAAGAAUGAGAUAGCCAUUGUUUCCGGUAACUCUUUCGCGGUAACGAGGAGGAACCUCAAUUAGAACGGUUUGAGGACUUAAACGCCCAGAGGCUGCCGGGUUUUAAGAGGCAAGGAUGCAGUAACGUCGACGUGGAAGCAUUGUUUCUCCGAGCAAUAAUGCAAACGAUACCCUAAGCGCGUGAAAGACGUUGAUUCUCUCUUAACACUUGUUAUUGCAAACUACGACGUAACGUGAAGCAUAUUUUAUCCAAUAGGAUUUGUACGAACUUUAUGCCUGGAUACAUCAAUUCUUACUGUAUUUAUUUACAAGCUCGAUAAAUAAUGAAAACAGGAUCUCCUCCAUCCGAUGCUUGAUACCCUGAUUGAAAAGGAAGUCUGU